AGUCUACGAAUCCUACAGGGGCGGUGAAAGCUACCAUUCUUCUUGGAUGAUUAUCAAUCUUGUUGCCAUAACCCAGAAAGAUGUCUACCGCGUCAGACCGUAGGUAGAAGUGUUCAAUAGCCCAUAAUUGCAGCAAAAGGUUGUAUCCCUCGAAAAACAUUCGACCAUCGACGCAUGCUGACAGACUCCUCAUUAUUUCCGCCAAGAUCAUGGGUACUAGGGUUUUCCUAGGUUUCGCCCUCUCUUUGGGCUAAAUCUCGAACCACAUAACCCAAGCGUGUGUCAAUCCUUCCCCUUAUCUUAGGAAAAACCAGGGAUCCUAAUAGGGCAAUGGCAAAGGCAUUUAGGCGAUAUGUUUCCC
rnacentral:lncRNA from 1 species